CCCAUGCAGACUUUACUGUAAAAUGUCCCCUUGUUUCAAGCAUCCAGAAAGGAGUAUCUAACUGUGAACUUUCAGUUGGUGGUCUAAUAUUCUGCACAAUGUGGUGUGCCAAAUCUUCAGGUACUUGAAAAUAUAAGGCUCCCAUCUUAGUCCAAUUGUCGAACCAGAAUAGAGCUGAUCCCAUUCUCAGUUUCCAGUAGAUUUGAUGCUCAAUCAAGUCCCUACAUUCUAGCAUUUUUCUCCACGCGUGGGAUCCACCCUUCCAAGAAUAGUGCCUUGGAUACAUCAUGCAGGGACCUGAAAC